CCUACGGGUGACAGCAGUGGGGGAUAUUGGACAAUGGGGGAAACCCUGAUCCAGCGACGCCGCGUGAGUGAAGAAGUAUUUCGGUAUGUAAAGCUCUAUCAGCAGGGAAGAAACAAAUGACGGUUCCUGAGGAAGCAGCCCCGGCUAACUACGUGCCAGCAGCCGCGGUAUGACGGAGGGGGCAAGCGUUCUGCGGAAUUACUGGGUGUAAAGGGAGCGUAGACGGUACUGCAAGUCUGGAGUGAAAGGCGGGGGCCCACCCCCCGGACUGCUUUGGAAACUGUGUGGCUGGAGUGCGGGAGAGGCAGGCGGAAUUCCUGGUGUAGCGGUGAAAUGCGUAGAUAUUAGGAGGAACACCAGUGGCGAAGGCGGCCUGCUGGACUGUAACUGACGUUGAGGCUCGAAAGCGUGGGGAGCAAACAGGAUUAGAUACCCGAGUAGUC
rnacentral:rRNA from 1 species